GCCUAUCUAACGGCAUUUCUUGGUUUAACAGAAUAUACUUUAAAAAUAAAAGAAUAUUCUGUUAAAUUUAACGAUGUUAAUAGGUUUGAUAAUUAUUUAAUUACUCAUUUCAAUUAAUCCGUAAACGAAUCUCUCAUCACUCAGCCCUCUCUCACCCACUUUCCAAUUCUAAAAACCCUAAUCGCAGCAGCAAAACAUUAAACAAACCAACUCUGUUAUGAAGAGACGCUGCUACAGAUACAAUGGCUUCCAAUCGUCGUCAUUCUUCAACCUCAACUCUGUUAAAUUUUAAUGUCACAUAUUCACUAACAAUUAGUUAUUGAUUGAUUCAUUGUAUUCUCUCCUCUGAUCCCUAAUUUACUCUCUCUCACUGGUUGCGUUUGGAAUCUGAGAAAAUGGGUUUGAUUUCGGGGAUUUUUAUGGGGAUGAUCUUGGGGAUUGUGUUAAUGGCUGGAUGGAGUCACAUGAUGAGGCAACGCAGCACCAAGUGAAUUGCUAAGAGAAGAAAAAGCCGCCAUUGUUAUAUUCAUCAAGAAAACCGUGAGAGCUCUCGUCAAGACUCAGACUUGGACUCACUGAUCGAACACUAAAACGCUUUCGUAAGUGAUUUCAGGUGGAAUGGCAAAGAGUUACUUCAAGCAAGAGCGUGAUCUUGAUAAGAGACAGUGCAGAGGCUGCUAGAAUUAGAGAGAAAUACCCUGAUAGGAUUCCGGUGAUUGUGGAGAAAGCAGAGAGAAGUGAUAUUCCAAAUAUUGACAAGAAGAAGUAAGGUCUUCUUUUCACAAACUAAAUAUGGUUCUAAAAUGAAAUCUUUUGAUCUUUUCUUAUAACUUUGGCAUUUACCAAUCCCUCCGAAGUCACAGCUCUUCAAGAUCUUUACUGGAAUCUCAACCUUCCAUCAGAGCUGAGGGGAUGGAGAACCGAGGGUGGAGAUCCAUGUGAUGAAUCAUGGGGUUUUAGAUAAUUAUCUUAAUUGUGUGAAAUUGUAUUGCUUAUGUUGAUUAGGCACAGUUAUAUACUAUCCUAGAGCUAUGUCGUGCAUUUGAUCGGGUAUUUAAGGAGCAUUUAGAUGGAGGGUAAUAUUUUCUCACCUUUUGGUUUCCUCAACAACUAGCUCUACUGUUUCAACACAUUAGGUCUUCACAUAUACAUUUAGUAUAUUUAUUAAAACAUCGUUUUAGAUUUGUAGAAUAAUUUUUGAAUACUGAACUGUUCCACCUA